rnacentral:rRNA from 1 species
GAUGAACCCUAAAAAGUUCUAGAGGUAAAAAGUUUGGUCCUAGCUUUAUUAUCACCUUUUCUUCAACCUACACAUGCAAGUCUCAGCACCCCAGUGAGGACACCCUUACAACCUCCAAAGGCCUAGGAGUGGGUAUCAGGCACGAAAUUUCUGCCCAUAACACCUAGUCUCACCACACCCCCAAGGGCAUUCAGCAGUGACAAAUAUUGUCCAUAAGCGACAGCUUGAAUCAGUUAGAAGAAAUAGAGCCGGCAAACUAGGUGCCAGCCGCCGCGGCUACACCGACGGGCUCAAGCUGAUAACAAUCGGCGUUAAGCGUGAUUAAAGAAGCCCUUAAUUAGAAUUGAACCUAAGCUUAGUAGUUAUAAGCUUACUCUAGAGGAAACCCAUAAUCGAAAGUUAUUCUAAUACGCACUCUUGAACACACGACAACUUGGGGUACAAACUGAGA